rnacentral:rRNA from 1 species
CCCUUAGAUGUUCUGGGCCGCACGCGCGCUACACUGAUGCAUUCAACGAGCCUAGCCUUGACCGAGGGGUCCGGGUAAUCUUUGAAACUGCAUCGUGAUGGGGCUAGAUUAUUGCAAUUAUUAAUCUUCAACGAGGAAUGCCUAGUAAGCGUGAUUCAUCAAAUCGCGUUGAUUACGUCCCUGCCCUUUGUACACACCGCCCGUCGCUCCUACCGAUUGAGUGUGUUGGUGAGGAGUUCGGAUUGGCUCUUAGUGGUGGUUCGCCACCACCUAGAGCUGAGAAGUUCUCCAAACCGCCCCACUUAGAGGAAGGAGAAGUCGUAACA